rnacentral:ribozyme from 12 species
AUAACAAACAACAAAAGAAAAACAAGAUAUCGAUAAUAUAUUCGGAUGUUUAUUGCAAGCCCAUGCUGCCACUGCAUUCAUUUACUUGGAUGCUUUCCUUUUCUU